AUGUUCCGGGCGGCUUCCCAAGCCGGGAUCCUCAAGCCCAUUAGGGCGCGGACGGCCUCCUACAGGGUUUCUCUCUAUGCAGACGAUGCUGGCAUUUUCGCCAACCCGAUCAAAGAAGAGAUCGACGCAAUCGCUAGGAUCCUUGCUUGUUUUGGGGAUGCAUCGGGCCUCAUCACAAAUGUCAGCAAAAGUGAGGUGUUCCCCAUUCGCUGCCAAGACGUCGAUCUCCCGGCAAUCCUCUCGGCCUUCCUGGCCAAGCUGGCCUCGUUCCCCGGCCGAUACCUUGGUCUCCCACUGCAUACCAGGCGGCUCAGAAGGGUUGACCUCCAACCUCUUCUAGACAAGGCCAUGGGCAGGUUGCCGGGCUGGAAGGGGAAGAACCUGGCGCGACCGGGCAGGGUCUCCCUUGCAAAGUCCGUGCUAUGCGCCAUCGCAAAUCAUCACCUCAUGGCUUUCGCGCUUCCCGCUUGGGCAAUCCAAAAGCUUAGUAAGAUCACUCGCAACUUCAUCUAGUGUGGGGAAGACUCAGAAAACGCAUCUGGCGGACACUCUUUGGUCAACUGGAAGACUGUCUGUCAGCCUAAGCCCAUAGGGGGCCUGGGAAUCACGGACCUCGAGAGAUUUGGUAGGGCGCUCCGACUUCGUUGGCCUUGGCUUAUGUGGACUAAUCCUAGCCACCAAUGGGUGGGCUCUGCGGUGCCCUGCGAUGACACGGAUAUGGCGCUCUUCAGGGCUUCUACCACCAUCUCCUUGGGCAAUGGGAGAAAAUCCUUAUUCUGGCAUGAUGACUGGACAGGACGGGGCCCCUUGUCCCGGGCCUUCCCAGAGCUGUACAAAAUUGCCACCAGGAAGGGGAGAACUGUGAUGAAGGAGCUCUAG
rnacentral:rRNA from 1 species